rnacentral:rRNA from 1 species
CCUACGGGAGGCAGCAGUGGGGAAUAUUGCACAAUGGGCGCAAGCCUGAUGCAGCCAUGCCGCGUGUAUGAAGAAGGCCUUCGGGUUGUAAAGUACUUUCAGCGAGGAGGAAGGCAUUAAGGUUAAUAACCUUAGUGAUUGACGUUACUCGCAGAAGAAGCACCGGCUAACUCCGUGCCAGCAGCCGCGGUAAUAUGGAGGGUGCAAGCGUUAAUCGGAAUUACUGGGCGUAAAGCGCACGCAGGCGGUCUGUCAAGUCGGAUGUGAAAUCCCCGGGCUCAACCUGGGAACUGCAUUCGAAACUGGCAGGCUAGAGUCUUGUAGAGGGGGGUAGAAUUCCAGGUGUAGCGGUGAAAUGCGUAGAGAUCUGGAGGAAUACCGGUGGCGAAGGCGGCCCCUGGACAAAGACUGACGCUCAGGUGCGAAAGCGUGGGGAGCAAACAGGAUUAGAUACCCUUGUAGUC